CAGUAGCCGCGGUAAUACGUAGGUGGCAAGCGUUGUCCGGAAUUAUUGGGCGUAAAGGGCUCGCAGGCGGUUUCUUAAGUCUGAUGUGAAAGCCCCCGGCUCAACCGGGGAGGGUCAUUGGAAACUGGGAAACUUGAGUGCAGAGGAGGAGAGUGGAAUUCCACGUGUAGCGGUGAAAUGCGUAGAGAUGUGUAGGAACACCAGUGGCGAAGGCGACUCUCUGGUCUGUAACUGACGCUGAGGAGCGAAAGCGUGGGGAGCGAACAGGAUUAGAUACCCCGGUAGUCCCUGUCUCUUAUAC
rnacentral:rRNA from 1 species